rnacentral:lncRNA from 1 species
AUUUUUCCUUUAAUAGGUUCAAGUUUCAUUUUUCAUAUGAAAUUCAAAAUCAAAAACCCAAAAGGAUUUUUCUUUGGUAAUCAUAGGUUUCAUUUUGUAUAGGGAGUUUAAACUUGAAAAAUGCAAAAGAAAUUUCGUCAAUUCUUUUGACAAUUUCUUAUUUCGUUUUCUUUUUAAAGUUUCAAGAAAAAAGAAAAAAGAAAGGAAAAAUAAUUAAUUGACCAUUUUGGCAAGACUUCACGAACUACGCACACCUGAUUCUCCUCUCUCGGGAGUGAGAUACGUAGGCGCCAGUCUUGGGUUCAGUGACCUUUUCAAAAAGAAAAAAAGAUUUUGAAAAAAAAGUGUUGAAUUCUAACGCAUUUGCUAUCUCUUGUUUAGUUAGUUUAAGGUGGUUGGUUUGUGGCAUUUUGGCUGGUCCUCCAUAUUGCACCAAGUCACAGAGAAAUUUAUGGCCAACAAGGAUAUCGAGUUUGUUGUCACUAAUCAGAUAGGGAGUUCGGUAAAUGAGAAUUUAGGAGAUAAUGAAGAGAUUCGGAAAUUAAGGCAUCAAAUGAUAGAAAUGCAUCGAGCUUGGGCUAAUGGGUUGCCGCCUCCUCCAGUUCCCACUGAUAAUCUGGAAUAUCUUUCUAGCUUGCCUCCCGUGUCAUAUGCAUAAUUUUCUAUUUUUGUUGAUAUGCCACAAUAUGCAUCAGGAUCGACUCCGGGGCAACAAUAUCCAACCACUUCUAAUGUUCAUUUUCUGACUCCCCAAUCCAAGACGACCACAUACUCGGCUCCACCUGCUGUUCAUGCUUUUGCGGUUUUGAUGUUCAUCCACAAGUUGUGCCUCCCCACUCUACAAGAGAGCCUGCAUUGAAUAUUACUGGUGAUCAGCGUUACAUUUCCGAUCCUACAUUCAAGUUGACUGGUCUUUACGGUGACACUCACCCGCCUGAAUUUCCUCCUAACACCGAGAAGCCUAUUAUGACAGAAGAACAAGACAAAAUAACCAGAAAAUUGAGAAGUUUGGAACUGGCUAUGAAGAACUUGCAAGGACUUGGGGGUUACAAAAGUGUCUCAUAUAAGGACUUAUGCAUGUUUCCACGUUUCAACCUUCCUCCUAGAUUUAAAAUGCCAAAGUUUGAGAAAUAUGACGGACAUGGGGACCCACUGGCACAUUUGAGGUGCUAUUGUAACCAAUUAAGAGGCGCUGGAGGGAAGGAAGAACUACUUAUGGCUUCUUUUGGGGAGAGUCUUUCAGUCCUAGCUUCGGAAUGAUUUGUUGACCAAAACAUCGACAAAUGGAUUAGUUAGGAUGACCUAGCUAAUGAAUUUGUGCAACAAUUUCAAUACAAUGUGGAGUUGAUCCCUGAUGAAAAAUCCCUAAAUAGUAUGAAGAAGAAGAAUAUUGAGAGCUUCAGGGAGUAUGCGAUCAGAUGGCUCGAACAAGCUGCUAGAGUGAAACCGCUAAUGAAAGAAAGAUUUAUAGUGAGGGUGUUUAUUCAAGCGCAGGAUGAAACAUAUUAUUAACACUUGUUACCUGUAUUUGGCAAGUUAUUUAUUGAGGUCCUUAAAAUAGGGGAGAUGAUAGAAGAAUGAAUUAAGAUGGGUCGCAUUGUGAGUUUUGCAACAUUAAAAGCGACUACUCAAGCAAUUCAAAAGGGUUCAGGAAGUGUUGGGGAGACAAAGAAUGAGUAAGAUGCAUCCGCUAUUGUAGUAGGACAACGGGAAUGGUCAAGAAUACUCCGUCGUCAUCACUCUCAAGCUCAAACCCAAGUUCAUACCCAAACUCCACAUAGUCACUCCCAAAAUCCAUUAUACUCUGAUCCUCCACCUCCAUAUCCAGUAUAUAACGCACAACCAUAUGUUCAACCCCUAUCUUACCCACAAUGGAACACACCAACUCUUCAGAGCCGUCCUCUAACCCCACAAACAUACCAAAACCCUUCUAAGCCUGAUUUUCGAUCCAAGCCAAAUGAUGAAACGAGGCAGAAGUCGAGAGAUAACUUCACACCAAUUGGAGAGUCGUAUGCCAGUUUAUUUCAUAGAUUAGUACAAUAGGGCAUGAUCACUCCUCUCCUUGGGUGCAAUUUUAAUCGGUGUUUAAGAAAUUUUGAUCCUAAUAUGCGAUGUGCGUAUCAUUCUGAUGCUUAGGGUUAUAGUAUUGAAGAUUGUUGAGAUUUGAAAAGAGAAAUUGAAAAGAUGAUUUAAGAUGGAUCAAUUAUGGUGCAGAACAUUGACAGUGAGGGAAGCUCUAGUCAUGUUGAUAGACAAACCAGUGGUUAAGUUGUCAGGCUGAGCAAUUGAGAAGUCACCCCCCUCCCUACUAGGAAGAGGUCUGGUAGUUUGUUUUGUUUUAUUUUCUGUUAUUUGAAUUAUUUCAGGGUUGUAGUUCGGGAUCUAUCUUGUUUUGUCCCUUUUUCGUUAUGUUCAAACUCUUCUAUCUUUCAUUUUUAUUAAAUGAAGUGUCCCAUUUUUCUUUGUGUUUUAAAUAUGUGUCGUUUGUUUGUUUUCUUUGCAUAGUAUAUUUUAUGUUGACUCUAGUGAUAUGACAUGCUAGUGAAAUUUACAGCCAAAUCUUAAAAUCUAGUUUAAGCAUGAACAUUGAAUCAGAGGGUUAAAGUUAGAAAAAGAGAGCAUCUGAGAAAAUAGGUAGAGUGCUGAGACAUUUGGUGACAAGUUCAAGCCUUCUUUGAAAAUUAAGGCAAUUAUUUUAAGAAUCACAAGAAUAACUUGGUCAUCAAUUGAAAAACAUUGCUCAAUUAGGUCAAAUAGCGGAUGUGUGAUCCCGAGAAAUAGAAAAAUCAACUCCACAAAAGCAUGAGUC